UAUCAAAUGCUCAGGUUGUUCAAAUGUGCAUCUUUACUGUAGUUGUGUUGGUAGUAAAAAAGUUUCUUUGGAAGAGCGCUCCUAUAUAAAAGACCAAAGGGAGAAAAUUGGUACUAAAGGAAAGUUUCAAAUAGGAGGUAUUGAUAACUCUGUUUUAUCACCUACCUC